rnacentral:rRNA from 1 species
UCAUUCCUACGGGGGGCAGCAGGGAGGAAUAUUGGUCAAUGGGCGGGAGCCUGAACCAGCCACGUCGCGUGAGGGAAGACGGUCCUAUGGAUUGUAAACCUCUUUAGGCGGGGAGCAAUGCCGGGCACGCGUGCCCGGAGGGAGAGUACCCGCAGAAUAAGCAUCGUCUAACUCCGUGCCAGCAGCCGCGGUAAUACGGAGGAUGCGAGCGCUAUCCGGAUUUAUUGGGUUUAAAGGGUGCGUAGGCGGAUUUUUAAGUCAGCGGUAAAAUGUCCGGGCUCAACCCGGGCCGGCCGUUGACACUG